CCUGGGCCUAGAGCCACUCAGUAUACUGGUGGCAGAGCUGGGUUAAACUUUGGUCUCCUGGCCCCACCUUCCAGGGCUCUUUUCUCUAUUUUGUGCACUUGGAGAAGGCAGUUAAAAGAUCAAAGAUGUGGAAAGCACAUGUGAAAAGUUAAGAGGACACCCACAUAGUAAGAAACUCAGGGCCAGGUGCAGUGGCUCACACCUGUAAGUAAUCCCAGCACUUUGGAGACCGAGGUGGGAGGAUCAGUUGAGCCCAGGAGUUCAAGACUAGCCCUGGCAACAUAGUGAGACCUCAUUCUACAAAAAAUAAGAAAGAAAGAAGCCAGGCGUGGUGGUGUGAACCUAUAGUCUCAGCUACUCAGGAGACUGAGGAGGGAGGAUUGCUUGAGCCCAGGCUGCAGUGAGCUAUGAUCAUGCCACUGUGUUCCAGCCUAGAUGACAGAGUGAGACCCUGUCUCAAAAAAAAAAAAAAAAAAGAAAAAAUCGAAUUUAGGCUUACCACUUGAGGUGGACUUGAUACUCCUAAAAACUGAGGGGUAAAAAAGAGGUGCAGGUUGAGGUGCCAGGAACAAAGAAUCCAAGACUGCAGCUUUGAGGCUUUCAAGGGAAGAGGGUCCAUCAUGACCAAGAAAAAAUUUUCAGCACAUGCUAUGCAUGUACCAGAUGCAAGGAGUGCUACAAAAAGUCUGAAGAUGGCGACCUCCAGGGAAUUAAGUCACCCCAGCAGGAAGGCAGCCAUUCCAAAGACAUCCCAACACAGUGUGUAACAGCCACAGGCAGUUAAGCUAAUCAGGAAAGUGAGCACCCAGAG
rnacentral:lncRNA from 10 species